AUGGCUUUUUGCUGUUACUGUUGUGCUUUUCAGACGUGGCUCCUUGUUAUUGUUUGCUUGUUUGCUUGUUUGUUUCUAUCAGUACUUAAGCAGGAGAUGGACUUCUUGUGCAGGCACACACCAGCAGGAUGGCCUGUCCUGGGGAUGACCUUCCCCCAUUUGCAGGUGGGCGUACCGGCAGUCAGGCUGAGCGUGAAAAAGGGCACACAGGACCAACGGAGGGGUCCUUUACAAGGUAAAGGAUUUUUUUUCAGUUCUCCAGAUUGUAACACCUCAGAGAGAUCUGUCACACACCCUGAGCACUGCAGUCCCGGUGCCGCUGUAGAAUGCCUCCGCGGCGCAGCGCUGUGUACCGUCACAACACCGUUUUCCAGGGCACCCUGCGCGCACGGCCGGGAUGUCACACCUGGCCUGGAGGUUCCCACCGGACGAAGGGCGGCGCUGCGGGCUCACACUGGGCCGGCUGCCGGCGGGCCGCGGGCUCCUCCCGGCGGCGGCCGCUCCGCAGGGUACGGGCCUCGCCCCGCCGUGCCCGGAGGGGAGCAGGCAGACCCGGACACCACUAUACCGGGCGUUCUGUUGGUGGUCAUGAAUUGCGCUUGUCGACGAGGGGGUAUUUGUUUCGAGAGCGCUCAGGAAGUAAGCAGUACGGAUGAAAUGGAAAUGCAUACCCAGUUGCUCUGUCCAGCAGCAGGAGGCCUCACACAAGAAGAGUCUGUUUUCUUCAUGAGAGCACAAUUUUUCUAAGGGUUCAAUUUCCUUUUGGCCAAGAAAGAGAACCUAGAUGAAGAUGUAAUGCAGCUGGACAAUUAGCCACUACAAAUAGUUUGCUGAGGCUCUGGGCAAUACGGAGACCUCUGUAAACAUCAGAAUUACAGACAAUGUGCAUUCAGUCUGUGUAGUUUGCUUAAUUCUCAACGCUGUGUUAAACGAUUUACCCAAGCUGCUUUUUAAUAAACAUACCUGACCCAAGUAUAUUCUCCA
rnacentral:lncRNA from 1 species